ACGGGAGGCAGCAGUGGGGAAUUUUGGACAAUGGGCGCAAGCCUGAUCCAGCAAUGCCGCGUGAGUGAAGAAGGCCUUCGGGUUGUAAAGCUCUUUUGUCAGGGAAGAAACGGUGCGGGCUAAUAUCCUGUGCUAAUGACGGUACCUGAAGAAUAAGCACCGGCUAACUACGUGCCAGCAGCCGCGGUAAUACGUAGGGUGCAAGCGUUAAUCGGAAUUACUGGGCGUAAAGCGUGCGCAGGCGGUUUUGUAAGUUUGUCGUGAAAGCCCCGGGCUCAACCUGGGAAUUGCGAUGAAGACUGCAAGGCUUGAAUCUGGCAGAGGGGGGUAGAAUUCCACGUGUAGCAGUGAAAUGCGUAGAGAUGUGGAGGAACACCGAUGGCGAAGGCAGCCCCCUGGGUCAAGAUUGACGCUCAUGCACGAAAGCGUGGGGAGCAAACAGGAUUAGAUACCCUGGUAGUCCACGCCCUAAACGAUGUCUACUAGUUGUCGGGUUUUAAUUAACUUGGUAACGCAGCUAACGCGUGAAGUAGACCGCCUGGGGAGUACGGUCGCAAGAUUAAAACUCAAAGGAAUUGACGGGGACCCGCACAAGCGGUGGAUGAUGUGGAUUAAUUCGAUGCAACGCGAAAAACCUUACCUACCCUUGACAUGUACGGAAGGCCGGAGAGAUCUGGUUGUGCUCGAAAGAGAACCGUAACACAGGUGCUGCA
rnacentral:rRNA from 1 species